rnacentral:rRNA from 1 species
AUUGAACGCUGGCGGCAGGCCUAACACAUGCAAGUCGAACGAGUGGCGGACGGGUGAGUAAUGUCUGGGAAACUGCCUGAUGGAGGGGGAUAACUACUGGAAACGGUAGCUAAUACCGCAUACCAUCAGAUGUGCCCAGAUGGGAUUAGCUUGUGGGUGGGGUAACGGCUAACCAAGGCGACGAUCCCUAGCUGGUCUGAGAGGAUGAACAGCCACACUGGAACUGAGACAAGGUCAAGACUCCGUCGGGAGGAAGCAGGGGGGAAUAUUGCAAAUUGGGCGCAAGCCUGAUGCAGCCAUGCCGCGUGUAUGAAGAAGUCCUGCGGGUUGUAAAGUACUUUCAGCGGGGAGGCGUUACCCGCAGAAGAAGCACCGGCUAACUCCGUGCCAGCAGCCGCGGUAAUUC